AUACGGAGGGGGUUAGCGUUGUUCGGAAUUACUGGGCGUAAAGCGCACGUAGGCGGACUGGAAAGUUGGGGGUGAAAUCCCGGGGCCCAACCCCGGAACUGCCUCCAAAACUUCCAAUCUAGAGAUCGAGAGAGGUGAGUGGAAUUCCAAGUGUAGAGGUGAAAUUCGUAGAUAUUUGGAGGACCACCAGUGGCGAAGGCGGCUCACUGGCUCGAUACUGACGCUGAGGUGCGAAAGCGUGGGGAGCAAACAGGAUUAGAUACCCCGGUAGUCC
rnacentral:rRNA from 1 species